GGGGGUAUAGCUCAAUGGGAGAGUGAGUGCUUGGCAUGCAUCAAGGUCCUGGGUUCAAUCCCCAGUGCCUCCA
rnacentral:tRNA from 1 species